rnacentral:tRNA from 38 species
GCCUGCUUGGCCAAGCGGUAAGGCACCUGUCUUGUAAACAGGAGAUCGCCGGUUCGAUCCCGGUAGUAGGCA